CCUACGGGGGGCAGCAGUGGGGAAUAUUGCACAAUGGGCGCAAGCCUGAUGCAGCGACGCCGCGUGAGCGAUGAAGGCCUUCGGGUCGUAAAGCUCUGUCCUAAGGGAAGAAUAAUGACGGUACCUUAGGAGGAAGCCCCGGCUAACUACGUGCCAGCAGCCGCGGUAAUACGUAGGGGGCGAGCGUUAUCCGGAAUCACUGGGCGUAAAGGUUGCGUAGGCGGCUCUGCAAGUCAGGAGUUAAAUCCCUCGGCUCAACCGAUGUCAGCUAUUGAAGGUGUAGGGCUUGAGUGCGGGAGAGGUGAGUCAGGUGCCUAGGUUGGCGGUGAAAUGCGUAGAUAUUUGGAAGCACACCAGUGGCGAGGGCUGCUGUCUGGACUGCGAUUGACGCUGGGGCUCGAAAGCGUGGGGGGCGAACAGGAAUAGAUACCCUGGUAGUC
rnacentral:rRNA from 1 species